AACGAACGCUGGCGGCAUGCCUAACACAUGCAAGUCGAACGAGACCUUCGGGUCUAGUGGCGCACGGGUGCGUAACGCGUGGGAACCUGCCCUUAGGUUCGGAAUAACUCCCCGAAAGGGGUGCUAAUACCGGAUAAUGUCUUCGGACCAAAGAUUUAUCGCCUUUGGAUGGGCCCGCGUUGGAUUAGCUAGUUGGUAGGGUAAAAGCCUACCAAGGCGACGAUCCAUAGCUGGUCUGAGAGGAUGAUCAGCCACACUGGGACUGAGACACGGCCCAGACUCCUACGGGAGGCAGCAGUGGGGAAUAUUGGACAAUGGGCGGAAGCCUGAGCCAGCAAUGCCGCGUGAGUGAUGAAGGCCUUAGGGUUGUAAAGCUCUUUUAGCCGGGAUGAUAAUGACAGUACCGGGAGAAUAAGCCCCGGCUAACUCCGUG
rnacentral:rRNA from 1 species